AGCAGCCGCGGUAAUUCCAGCUCCAAUAGCGUAUAUUAAAGUUGUUGCAGUUAAAAAGCUCGUAGUUGAAUUUCGGGAUCGAAUUGUUGGUCGUGCCUCGGUACGCACUGGCAUUAUCGGUUUCUACCUUCUGAAGAACCGCGAUGUCAUUAAUUUGGUGUCGUGGGGAAUCAGGACUGUUACUUUGAAAAAAUUAGAGUGUUUAAAGCAGGCUUACGCUUGAAUACAUUAGCAUGGAAUAAUGAAAUAGGACGUUUGAUUCUAUUUUGUUGGUUUCUAGGAUCGACGUAAUGAUUAAUAGGGAUAGUUGGGGGCAUUAGUAUUCAAUUGUCAGAGGUGAAAUCCUUGGAUUUAUUGAAGACUAACUACUGCGAAAGCAUUUGCCAAGGAUGUUUUCAUUAAUCAAGAACGAAAGUUAGGGGAUCGAAGACGAUCAGAUACCGUCGUAGUCUUAACCAUAAACUAUGCCGACUAGGGAUCGGAUGAUGUUAAUUUUAUAAUGACUC
rnacentral:rRNA from 1 species